GCUUUUCCGUAAAACGUAAAAGCUUUUCAGGCUUUUCUAACGUUUGGAUGGCUGAAAAUAAUUUCCUACCGUAAAAUAUUUUACAGAACACGGGAAAAUCAAGUUUUUUUUAAGAAAAUGUCUUACCGUUUUGAAUUCGAUAAGACAUUUUCCGAAAAAUGACGUUUCUUCUCCCCUUUCCCCUUCCCCUUGGGUUGCAAAUCAGUGCCAUUGACAAUAGUUUGGUCAAGGACCUUUUCCAGUUCCUCCUUCAACCAGGUAAGGCUCCUUCUCCUUCUUCCGUUUUUCAUUCCUUUUCCUUCAUCCGUUCUUCAUCUUCUCUUCCAGGUAAAAGUCAGUCGUAUAUCUUUUUUUGUUUUUUCAGUCAUAACAAUUUCCCUUUCAUUGUUUCUUAUUUUCAAGUACCUUUCUUCAUACAAGAAUCCUGAGGUAAGUUUUUGUGUUUUUAUUUUUUUCUAAUUGAAAUUUUCAUUUUUUUCCUUAUUUGGUUUUGCAUUUUUUUUAAAAAAAUUUGUGUUCUUGGAUUGACGGGAGCAAAAGUUCUUGAUCGGAGUUGUUCUUAUGGUUCCUUGCUAUUCUGUAGAAUAGGAUUUGGCAUUUGAUCUGUCCCUUUCUGCUCUUUUGGGAGAUAACAUCUACAACUUUAGAGAACUCCUUGCUCAUCCAAUUAUUGUGUCUUUUAGGGACCAAGGUGGAGUGGCUUUAUUAUAUCCUCCAAUCCUUCAACUCUGGGAAUUUUGUUCGCUAUGAAGAAUUGUAUGGGUAAUGAUACAGUUUUGUUCUUCAAGAAAAUCCCCUCAAAUGAAAGAAAAUCUCUUGUUAAACGUAAACCCCAUAUCAAAUUCUUCACUCCAAUUCCUUUCUUUCCAUUGUAAGAAAAAGCCCAAAUAUCAUUUUUGAAAGCACCAUCUUCUCUUCCCUUUUCUUCAAGAUCCUCUUCUUCUUCUUUCGUCCCCUUUCGUUCCUCCACUUCUUAUACUAGUUCAACUACGAAGGAGUUCAAUUUGGAGUCCAAUGGAUUGCCCCAAACCUCAAAAUCUAAUCUUGAUGGAGAAUCCAAUGAGAAUUACAAUGUGGGGAUUGGUCAUCCAAUCGUCCCAAAUUUUAUUCCAACUCAAAAGAUGAGUUUGAGUGAUCAAGCCUUCUAUCUGUUCACUUUUAUUCCUUGUACGGCUUCUUUGGCGUUUACAAGUCUGGUCAUUGCAGCUGUUGGAUAAUAGGAUGGGCAAAGUACAUAACGCUUAGUUAUCAAUUGAGGCUGAAACACCUGAUCUCGUUGCAUCAUGAAUUUUUUUCUCCAGUUCCUUUCUGCCAUUGUAACAAUUUUGUUAUUUGAAAAGGACAAGAAGAAGGGAAAGUGAAAUGAUGAGCAAUGAGGAUAGAGAUAAGCGUUAGUCAUUUACAGGUAGAGCCAUCUUAGUAUGAUUCCUUUAAUAGGUAUUGCUUGAUCCUUAAAUCUUUGUUUUGAAACGAGUGGCUCAUGUACUAAACUUUUCACUUUUUGGCAUUUGUUGGAUCUAAAAUGGCACUGGAAUGCCUGAGGAUACGGUUAAAACUGCAAACAUCAUUCUUAUCAUUCAUUUUGUAUUGGGAUUUUUCAUUAGAUACAAUCAUAUAUCAUUAACUUUUAUGUGGAUGAAA